rnacentral:rRNA from 1 species
AGAGUUUGAUCAUGGCUCAGGAUGAACGCCGGCGGUGUGCCUAAUACAUGCAAGUCGAACGCGUUGGCCCAACUGAUUGAACGUGCUUGCACGGACUUGACGUUGGUUUACCAGCGAGUGGCGGACGGGUGAGUAACACGUAGGUAACCUGCCCCAAAGCGGGGGAUAACAUUUGGAAACAGAUGCUAAUACCGCAUAACAAUUUGAAUCGCAUGAUUCAAAUUUAAAAGAUGGUUUCGGCUAUCACUUUGGGAUGGACCUGCGGCGCAUUAGCUUGUUGGUAGGGUAACGGCCUACCAAGGCUGUGAUGCGUAGCCGAGUUGAGAGACUGAUCGGCCACAAUGGAACUGAGACACGGUCCAUACUCCUACGGGAGGCAGCAGUAGGGAAUCUUCCACAAUGGGCGCAAGCCUGAUGGAGCAACACCGCGUGAGUGAAGAAGGGUUUCGGCUCGUAAAGCUCUGUUGUUAGAGAAGAACGUGCGUGAGAGCAACUGUUCACGCAGUGACGGUAUCUAACCAGAAAGUCACGGCUAACUACGUGCCAGCAGCCGCGGUAAUACGUAGGUGGCAAGCGUUAUCCGGAUUUAUUGGGCGUAAAGCGAGCGCAGGCGGUUUGAUAAGUCUGAUGUGAAAGCCUUUGGCUUAACCAAAGAAGUGCAUCGGAAACUGUCAGACUUGAGUGCAGAAGAGGACAGUGGAACUCCAUGUGUAGCGGUGGAAUGCGUAGAUAUAUGGAAGAACACCAGUGGCGAAGGCGGCUGUCUGGUCUGCAACUGACGCUGAGGCUCGAAAGCAUGGGUAGCGAACAGGAUUAGAUACCCUGGUAGUCCAUGCCGUAAACGAUGAGUGCUAGGUGUUGGAGGGUUUCCGCCCUUCAGUGCCGCAGCU